rnacentral:rRNA from 1 species
UUUCCUACGGGAGGCAGCAGUGGGGGAUAUUGCACAAUGGGGGGAACCCUGAUGCAGCGACGCCGCGUGGGUGAAGAAGCGCCUCGGCGCGUAAAGCCCUGUCAGCAGGGAAGAAAAUGACGGUACCUGAAGAAGAAGCCCCGGCUAACUACGUGCCAGCAGCCGCGGUAAUACGUAGGGGGCAAGCGUUGUCCGGAAUUACUGGGUGUAAAGGGAGCGUAGGCGGGAUGGCAAGUUGGGUGUUAAAUCUACCGGCUCAACUGGUAGUCGCACUCAAAACUGCUAUUCUUGAGUGAAGUAGAGGC